UGCGCGAGCCGUUGUGGCGUGUUUGUCUAAUCGUGUGGUUUUGUGUUUGGUGUAACGAAAUGUGACUUGGUUCGCGAACACAGAAGUGCCAGAAGAUAGCUUGUGUCUCUCUGAAACUCGCCAUAUGCGUGGCGUGCCAGGCAAAUGGGGACCAACGAUUUCCAUGCCCUGGAGUGCGUUCUCUUUUGUGUCUGGUUGCGGGAAGUUCGCUGGACGUCGCAAAGAAAUAAUGUGUAUUAUUAGCGUGCCUCAGCUCGUCCACUACGUAACGGCGUGUAGACUGGGAGUCGACGCAGCACCGGUAACUUGGAGAGCGCUUUUCGACCGCGUCGUACCAUUAAAAAGUGGCGAGGCCGUAACCCACACCAGUGUCCACAUAAUGGAGGAGCCAGCAGAAAUGCAGGGAAACCUUGAAUGACUGCCAUAGCGCAGUGUGUAAUCUGAUUGCUUGGUUCAGGUACACCUAGCAAAUGUAUACAUUGACGAGGAGUGGCACCUGCUCUAGUGCCAUGGCUAGGACUCCCUGUUCUGCAAAGAACUGGCGAAACUGGUGUGCGGAGUUCUGGCACUCAGGAUAGGAGCAUCACAGGGGCUCUUUGGUGGUGCUUCCUGAACGGCCGCAAUUUCAUUGAGAAGCCGGCAUUGAGCCUCCAUAAAUUGGAAGCUGUGGACAGUAUCAUCGACAUUGUUUCAAAUUUGUUUGUGUAAUGUUUGUAACAAUACAUGUAUUACAGUGAAAUGAUUAAUUUUCCAGAUGCACUUGAUGCAUAUCUUUCGAGAUGUGGUGCCCCUGAGGAGGAGAAAUCGCGGUGCUCAAAAUGGACCGUAGCCUAGCAGACAUGCUGAGAGAAAUUAAGUAAGCGUGUAAUUGCAAACAUGUGUACAUGCAGUAAACCUCAUUAAUUUGAACUCGUGGGGGCCAUGCGAAAUGUCAGGACUAAGCAAACUCAACCAAAAUGGUUUAAAAUAUAUAUUUAUGUUUCGGCUUCCCACGGGAGCCUUGUUCACAAUGAAACCAGCAGCAGAGUAGGUAACGUUCUUAUCUGCAGCUCAAAACAUAUAAUGUACUUGGCAUACAUGGACAUGGAUGAUUAGAGAUUCAAGAUAGACGCGUAAAAUGAUUUCAUUCCUUAACAAUCAAGCGAUAUUUUUCCUAGCUAAUUGUGACGUAGUUGCGCAGUGCUUGGCCAGGGCAUUCGAUGCAAAGUAUCGUUUCUGGACAUCAUUCCUGUGCUGUUUAAGUCUUUUUUUGGAGUUGCCGGUUUCUCCGAUGUAGACGUACCGACAGUUCGCACACCGAAGGACCUACACUACGCCUGGGAACUUGCCCUUUUCCGAACGGUCUUUCACAUGCAUGAGCUCGUGUUUACGUUUUGGAACGUGCACAGCCUGCACAUCAUAUGACCACAACGCAUGCAAGGGUCUCGCUUAUGCAGGGGACCUAUGGUAUUGAAGCCCAUUUUUCGGGGGGUCCAGGGAGGGUGGGUACUGCGCGAGCCAGCUGACACCCUACUGUGUCAAUGGAGUACUCAGGGUAUCCACAAGCCAUCAAUUCCCACUGCACAAGUGAAUUGUCUGCCAUGUGGUCUUCUACUGUUGUGCACACAUUUUUCACCCAACGAAGGAGAGAGCAGACAACAGACCUCUUUUGCGAAGCAGGGUGCACCAAUGUGUAGUUGAGG